UGAUCCUGGCUCAGAUUGAACGCUGGCGGCAGGCCUAACACAUGCAAGUCGAGCGGUAGAGAGAAGCUUGCUUCUCUUGAGAGCGGCGGACGGGUGAGUAAUGCCUAGGAAUCUGCCUGGUAGUGGGGGAUAACGUCCGGAAACGGACGCUAAUACCGCAUACGUCCUACGGGAGAAAGCAGGGGACCUUCGGGCCUUGCGCUAUCAGAUGAGCCUAGGUCGGAUUAGCUAGUUGGUGAGGUAAUGGCUCACCAAGGCGACGAUCCGUAACUGGUCUGAGAGGAUGAUCAGUCACACUGGAACUGAGACACGGUCCAGACUCCUACGGGAGGCAGCAGUGGGGAAUAUUGGACAAUGGGCGAAAGCCUGAUCCAGCCAUGCCGCGUGUGUGAAGAAGGUCUUCGGAUUGUAAAGCACUUUAAGUUGGGAGGAAGGGUACUUACCUAAUACGUGAGUAUUUUGACGUUACCGACAGAAUAAGCACCGGCUAACUCUGUGCCAGCAGCCGCGGUAACACAGAGGGUGCAAGCGUUAAUCGGAAUUACUGGGCGUAAAGCGCGCGUAGGUGGUUCGUUAAGUUGGAUGUGAAAUCCCCGGGCUCAACCUGGGAACUGCAUCCAAAACUGGCGAGCUAGAGUAUGGUAGAGGGUGGUGGAAUUUCCUGUGUAGCGGUGAAAUGCGUAGAUAUAGGAAGGAACACCAGUGGCGAAGGCGACCACCUGGACUGAUACUGACACUGAGGUGCGAAAGCGUGGGGAGCAAACAGGAUUAGAUACCCUGGUAGUCCACGCCGUAAACGAUGUCAACUAGCCGUUGGGAGCCUUGAGCUCUUAGUGGCGCAGCUAACGCAUUAAGUUGACCGCCUGGGGAGCACGGCCGCAA
rnacentral:rRNA from 1 species